GCAUGCGCAGUUCCAAUAACAAUCAUGGCGGAAGCCGAAACGAGUAAUGCUGUAUUGUCACCACCAGGUAUGAUUGAUGUUGCCACACAUGAGUUCACUACACCUGUCAGGGAGGUACUGAAACCUGAACAAAUGUCGGCAUGGGAAAGUUCACAGGCCUACAGAGAUCUUGUUGGGUUUAUUAUAGCCAUGAACGAAGCUGUGAAAAAUAAAAGUUUAAAUGAUGAAUGUCAUAUAUCUCAG